rnacentral:rRNA from 1 species
GGGUGAGUAACACGUAUGGAACCUGCCCGUAGCAGGGGGAUAAGCGGAAGAAAUUCCGUCUAAUACCGCGUAAUAACUCCGAGGGGCAUCUCUUGGGGUUUAAAGGGUAACACCGGCUACGGAUGGCCAUGCGGCGCAUUAGCUAGUUGGCGGGGUAACGGCCCACCAAGGCGACGAUGCGUAGGGGUUCUGAGAGGAAGGUCCCCCACACUGGUACUGAGACACGGACCAGACUCCUACGGGAGGCAGCAGUGAGGAAUAUUGGUCAAUGGGCGCGAGCCUGAACCAGCCAAGUCGCGUGAGGGAAGACGGUCCUAUGGAUUGUAAACCUCUUUUGUCGGGGAGCAAAAGACGCCACGCGUGGCGUUCCGAGAGUACCCGAAGAAAAAGCAUCGGCUAACUCCGUGCCAGCAGCCGCGGUAAUACGGAGGAUGCGAGCGUUAUCCGGAUUUAUUGGGUUUAAAGGGUGCGCAGGCGGAAGAUCAAGUCAGCGGUAAAAUUGAGAGGCUCAACCUCUUCGAGCCGUUGAAACUGGUUUUCUUGAGUGAGCGAGAAGUAUGCGGAAUGCGUGGUGUAGCGGUGAAAUGCAUAGAUAUCACGCAGAACUCCGAUUGCGAAGGCAGCAUACCGGCGCUCAACUGACGCUCAUGCACGAAAGUGUGGGUAUCGAACAGGAUUAGAUACCCUGGUAGUCCACACAGUAAACGAU